AUUCGCUGGUUUAAAUCAAACCUGUUAUGAUUUAAGUUAACGAAUCAUCCCAAACCACGCUGUUUGCUGAGCUAGACUCCGGGCAGCGUGGUUAUUUU
rnacentral:ncRNA from 1 species